rnacentral:rRNA from 1 species
GACGAACGCUGGCGGCGUGCUUAACACAUGCAAGUCGAACGGAAAGGCCCUGCUUUUGUGGGGUGCCCGAGUGGCGAACGGGUGAGUAACACGUGAGUAACCUGCCCUUGACUUUGGGAUAACUUCAGGAAACUGGGGCUAAUACCGGAUAGGAGCUCCUGCUGCAUGGUGGGGGUUGGAAAGUUUCGGCGGUUGGGGAUGGACUCGCGGCUUAUCAGCUUGUUGGUGGGGUAGUGGCUUACCAAGGCUUUGACGGGUAGCCGGCCUGAGAGGGUGACCGGCCACAUUGGGACUGAGAUACGGCCCAGACUCCUACGGGAGGCAGCAGUGGGGAAUAUUGCACAAUGGGCGGAAGCCUGAUGCAGCAACGCCGCGUGCGGGAUGACGGCCUUCGGGUUGUAAACCGCUUUCGCCUGUGACGAAGCGUGAGUGACGGUAAUGGGUAAAGAAGCACCGGCUAACUACGUGCCAGCAGCCGCGGUGAUACGUAGGGUGCGAGCGUUGUCCGGAUUUAUUGGGCGUAAAGGGCUCGUAGGUGGUUGAUCGCGUCGGAAGUGUAAUCUUGGGGCUUAACCCUGAGCGUGCUUUCGAUACGGGUUGACUUGAGGAAGGUAGGGGAGAAUGGAAUUCCUGGUGGAGCGGUGGAAUGCGCAGAUAUCAGGAGGAACACCAGUGGCGAAGGCGGUUCUCUGGGCCUUUCCUGACGCUGAGGAGCGAAAGCGUGGGGAGCGAACAGGCUUAGAUACCCUGGUAGUCCACGCUGUAAACGGUGGGUACUAGGUGUGGGGUCCAUUCCACGGGUUCCGUGCCGUAGCUAACGCUUUAAGUACCCCGCCUGGGGAGUACGGCCGCAAGGCUAAAACUCAAAGGAAUUGACGGGGCCCCGCACAAGCGGCGGAGCAUGCGGAUUAAUUCGAUGCAACGCGUAGAACCUUACCUGGGUUUGACAUGGAUCGGGAGCGCUCAGAGAUGGGUGUGCCUCUUUUGGGGUCGGUUCACAGGUGGUGCAUGGCUGUCGUCAGCUCGUGUCGUGAGAUGUUGGGUUAAGUCCCGCAACGAGCGCAACCCUUGUUCACUGUUGCCAGCACGUUAUGGUGGGGACUCAGUGGAGACCGCCGGGGUCAACUCGGAGGAAGGUGGGGAUGACGUCAAGUCAUCAUGCCCCUUAUGUCCAGGGCUUCACGCAUGCUACAAUGGCUGGUACAGAGAGUGGCGAGCCUGUGAGGGUGAGCGAAUCUCGGAAAGCCGGUCUCAGUUCGGAUUGGGGUCUGCAACUCGACCUCAUGAAGUCGGAGUCGCUAGUAAUCGCAGAUCAGCAACGCUGCGGUGAAUACGUUCCCGGG